rnacentral:lncRNA from 1 species
CGCCAACUCCGUCAGUACUCCUGCUGGGGGGCUUCCAAUGGGAGCGCCGGAGAUUUGCAUAUGGAGGCUGUUGUUAAGCAUGAGGUGGGGCUUGUGUAUGACUAGAUGGCAGGUUUCCCUAAUCAGGUUAGGAUCACAAAAAAAAGGCAUAAGAAUCCAUUAGAAGCGAGACCAGUUGUCGAAAAGAGAUCUGCUCCUACAUAUUUGUUAGAAAAACGUUUAACGAAAUGGUGUCUUGAGAGAAUGAGAGGAUAUAAAUGGACUGUUUCUUCAUCAGUGGAAUUAAUUGAUAACUUACUGGAGGUCAGCCUGUUACCAGAUGAGAUCUUGGCUGUUUAUGAUUUUAAAUCUUUAUAUCCUUCGAUAAAAUUGGAGCCAGCAUGUCUUCUCCUAUAUA